ACAUCAAGGCACAAAGAGGCUAUGCACCUCGCCCAGUGUCCCCCAGCCGGAGGGACAGUCCCACUGGAGACUGCACAGUUGUCAGUGACAGGAACGGGACUCUCGUGGGCUGAUGAACGAGAGAGGAUCCAGUGCUCAGCUCCUUGUGCAGUCCCCAGGGGCUCCUGUCCCUGCCCACCUCAGGGCAGCUUCCUACAGCCCGGACCCUGCUCCAAGGAAAGCAGUGCUGAGGUUGCAAGCCCUGUUUCUGCAGUUGGAUUCUCUGGACCCAACCCUGGCCCCGCAGCUGACGUGCUGUGUGGUUGUGAGCAGGUUAAUCAGCCUCUCUGGCCUCAGGCUCCUUAUCAUUGAACUGGAGGCACUGAGGAGGAGCCAGGGGUCCGGCUGCCAGGGGAGGCCUUGCCUGACGGUGGGAGAUGCAGUUGCCUCUCAAUAAAAGAGCAGACUGCAUCUGGGAGCUCCUGGCUGAAGAAGCUCCUUUCCACCAUGGCCACCUCUUCUCCCGCCGGCAACAUCAGAGGCGACCGUGCUGCCCGCUCCCAGUCAGUGCAUUUGUGGCUGAGACCAUGGAUUGUGCCACAAAUCACAAUGAUGACAAUGAUAGCAGCAAAGGCUGUCUUGGGGUGCUCACCUCUCACCAGACAUGUCACUGGCAUUUUACGGAAUCUUCCCAAAGGGCCUACUGUCACUUCACUGUGCAGGGGGAGCCGGUGAGUAUAGAAAGGGGCUGGAAGUCAAAUGUGGGUCUGCUUGAUGGCAAAGUGGAUGUUCUUGGCCCCUGGUCAAGGUCACAGGCAGCGGAAGUGGUCUAUUCCUGUAGUUCAGGUCUACAGGGGAAUGCAGCACGGGGAGCCCCUUGCGUAGGGGAUAGGGGGCUGGGGCCAUGAUCGUGACCUUGCCCAGGAGAGUCUCCGCGCAGCUGGAGGCAAGGAGGUGGCCUCGCUGGAGGAUGGGGCCGAUGUCCUCAGCUGGGGCAGCCCCUGCCCUUGGCUGGGCACUCACGGUGGGAUUUCCCUGUCUUAUCCUCAGCAAAGUUGGUCCAAGGAGCUCUUGGCUGUAAAUUUUUCCAGCUCCGGCAGCCACCCAGCCCUGGCCUUUGCCUCAGCCAGGGGCUGCUGCUGAGCAGACAGCAGAUUCGUCACUGGGCGAGUCCCUGAGCCAGCACAGCUGUCAGCAGGAAGGAGCGUCUGCACCACAGCCACGCGGAGCGUACCCUUGAGCAUGACAGGCGCAGACAAAGACCUCAGAAUUUGUGGCUCUGCCCUCUGAGUGACGGAUGGAGCCGGCUCCUUAAGCCUCUGCUCCACCACUUGCUGUCUCAGGAGGAUGAGUGUGGGACAAGGGAAGGGAGCAGAGGGCAGGAUGUGUCCUCUGUACGCCCUCGGAAUGACUUUGUCAAUGGGCAGAGCGGUGACCUUGGCCAGGGGGGAAGGCGAGAGCUUGAAGGUGGGGAGCACGGUGUGUGCCGCACCCCACUGCCUCGCCCCACCCUGCAUGGUGCACGACUGCCAGGCACAACCCUGCCUCUCUCUGGCCGUUUGCUUCCUUCCAGUGCUCCUCCACCCAGCAAAUCUUUGCAGACUACACACUUUCUGCAGGUAUUGUGCUGGGUGCCAGGGAAGGAGCAGUGGACAGCAGCCCCUGGGUCCCUGUCCUCCUGGAGCUUUGGCUAGUGGGGGCAGAAGCAAGCCAACACAUCAGCAAACCAGGGGAGCCUUGGGGAAGGUUGGUCUCCUGGGAGGUGACACUAAGGGAUAGCACAGCAUGGUCUCCUAGGGGUGACACUGAGGGACACUGAGGGACAGCACAGCAUCAGCGAUGUGUGGUUUAGGGGAGCAGCUGAUGCAAGGUGCCCAAGCCAGGGGCACCAUGUUGGAGAGCAAGGGCCUUCAGGCUGGCCUGGAGGCCGUGCUGGGGCCCCGCCCAGGACAGAGGCUGAGGAGGCAGGCCCGGGCCUCUGCUUCACAGGGUUGAAGGCAGCACCGGGAGCUCGAGUGGCUGGGGAGGGGCAUGAUCUGCGCUAUGGUGUGAAACCAUCGCUGUGGUUUUGCUAGAGCAGACAUCACCAGCAGAAUCCAGACCCGCGAGCAUUCAGCAGCUGCCAACACACACAGCCUGCCCUGACUACCCGAUGCCGAGUGUCCUGGUGCCAUUCGGACCUUCUGAAAUGCAUGGUGCCUAAGAUGGCUUCCGGUGUGUCGAGUUUUGCGGCAGCAUCAUUAUACACAGACACACAUCUCUUGAGUAUUCCUUUCUGAGAGGUGUGGAUAAGGGCCGAUCUCAUCCAAGGAAGAGACGGAGCCUUGAGUGGAAUUGGCACCACUACAAAACUACCCCGAGUCCAUCAGUUACAAAAACGGCUCCUAAUAAAUUGUGUAAAGUAGGGAAGUUACAUGCAGGAGCGUUGGAAGCACGGGCCCAGUGGCCCCGAGGGAUAUUAACAGAUUGGCAUUGGAGUGUUGAUGUUUCUCAAGCUUUGGGCAGCAUCCUGAUUCAACACAUGGCUUGGUGUGACAGCAUUGCGUGUGAGAUGCUGAAUCGGAGAGAGGGGAAAAGGGGGGGAAGAGCCAGCUGCAGCUCAGACAGGAGGAGGAGAGCAGAGAUUGAGAGACAUGCAUCAGAGCACGAUAGCAAAGACUUCCAAAGCCCCGGAGCUGCGUUGGUGAGAACAGCACGAAUUUACGACCUGACUGUUCUGCUUCUCCCCUGAAACAGCCCAGGCCACCUGUGGGCUGAUGCAUCUGGCCCAGGUGUCCCCAUGCAACCGUACAGUCCCACCGAGUCAGGAUUGGUUCUCUCAACCGCCUUGCCCCUCCAGGAGGUUAGGACACCCUGUUGGGUCCUGGAGCAGCGACGACUUGGUGUUGGAAGGCAAUGACACUUGCAGAGAUGCCUGCAGGGAAAUCGGCAUGUGCAGAGAGACCUGCUCAGAGAGUGACCCCCAGGCCCCUGUUAGGGGGACAAUCAGAACAUUACAGGCAGGUGGCCCAAGCCGGGUCUGUAAAAGAGCUUGGGUCCACAAGACUAUUGAAAAAUAGAUGUGAGCGUGAAUGUGCCAGAGAAAGUUGGGAUGCACGCCACCAGUUUUCAACAAGGUUUACUGAGGGAUAUUGAUCAAGUCACACGGCUAAAGCUCUCGUCUAAAUUGUAGCCAGCACCUAGGUCUCUAAUCCAAAGUUGUGUUGACUUGCUCCAACUGUAUUGAUUUAAAGGAUUGAAAUGCAUGCAGAAUCAAGGCACGUGCACACACACACACACACAAACACAUAUACAUACUCGCACCCAUUGCUCCCUGGAGACUGAUGGUUGAAGUUGCUAGCCAGGGGCCAGUGUUGUGGUGUAGCCUGCUGCACCGGCAUCCCAUAUGGGCGCCAGUUUGUGUCCUGGCUGCUUCACUUCCCAUCCAGCUCCCUACUAACGGUCUAGGAAAAGCAGCAGAGGAUGGCUCAUGUGUUUGGACCCCUGCUCCCCAUGUGGGAGACCUGGAAGAAGCUGCUGGCUGCUGGCAUCAGUCUGGCGCAGCCCAGGCCAUUGUGGCCAUCUGGGGAUAGAAACAGCAGAUGGAAGACCUCUCUCUGUGUCUCUCCCUCUCUCUGUAACUCUGACUUUCAAAUAAAUAAAUAAAUAAAUCUUAAA